GAAAGAUCUCCAUUUCUUCAGGGAGAACCUUGAUGUCCCAGCCAUGGUACACACUUUUCUGUGGACUUUCCUGUGCUUCAAAUACAUCUAUAAUGAGGGACACCAGAUGUGAGGAUGGAACAGACCUCUAAAGGACAAAAUGUUACAUCUGGGAGCAGGGCCACUGAAACCUGUUUCCAUAAAAAAAAAAAAAAAAAAAAAAAAAAAAAAAGCUUAUGUUUGGAUUAGACCAAAUGUGGAUCAAUUAAACUACAAAUUAAAGAGCUUUUGAAUAUCCAUGAAUUACAUUCUUGAUACAGAGUCUUCUUAUCAUGACCACAGGAUGCCUUUUCUGACCCAAAGUGGGGACAACCAUGCAUGAGAUCACUCCAGAAUUAUCUUGGGAACGGAGUUCCUGCCAUCUCCUAAAGCUCCCCAGCCUGCUUCUCACCCAGUCAGUCUGAGGAUUUGAAUGACAUUGAAGCCUUCAGCACUCCCUACCUGCAAUGGCUUGUCUGCAAACAUUUGCCAACUGGCUGAAUUUUUCCUUAGCCUCCAGUGCUGUGUGGACUCCUCAAUUGAUAAUUCAGUGAGAUGGCAGAUUUCCUCAGAAGCAGAAGAAACCAAGAGUUGUACCACCAUAUCAAAGAUCUUCAACCAACAGCAGGGCCAAAGGCCAAGCUUGGAUUGAAAUGGCAAAACUGACUGCCUAAGUCUUUAUAUCAUAAAGGGCAGUGGUUGGCUUCGAGGUAAAAGACAAGAAAUGGUGGCUUCAUAUAUGUGCAUAAAUAUAUGUGAAUUGAAGACUCUAUCCCAAUUUAUUUACCUUUCCAAUUAAUAUCUAUUAAAUGUUUC
rnacentral:lncRNA from 10 species